rnacentral:rRNA from 1 species
AGAGUUUGAUCCUGGCUCAGGAUGAACGCUGGCGGCGUGCCUAACACAUGCAAGUCGAGCGAAGCACUUUGCUUAGAUUCUUCGGAUGAAGAGGAUUGUGACUGAGCGGCGGACGGGUGAGUAACGCGUGGGUAACCUGCCUCAUACAGGGGGAUAACAGUUAGAAAUGACUGCUAAUACCGCAUAAGACCACAGCACCGCAUGGUGCGGGGGUAAAAACUCCGGUGGUAUGAGAUGGACCCGCGUCUGAUUAGCUAGUUGGUAAGGUAACGGCUUACCAAGGCGACGAUCAGUAGCCGACCUGAGAGGGUGACCGGCCACAUUGGGACUGAGACACGGCCCAAACUCCUACGGGAGGCAGCAGUGGGGAAUAUUGCACAAUGGGGGAAACCCUGAUGCAGCAACGCCGCGUGAGUGAAGAAGUAUUUCGGUAUGUAAAGCUCUAUCAGCAGGAAAGAAAAUGACGGUACCUGACUAAGAAGCCCCGGCUAACUACGUGCCAGCAGCCGCGGUAAUACGUAGGGGGCAAGCGUUAUCCGGAAUUACUGGGUGUAAAGGGAGCGUAGGCGGCACGCCAAGCCAGAUGUGAAAGCCCGAGGCUUAACCUCGCGGAUUGCAUUUGGAACUGGCGAGCUAGAGUACAGGAGAGGAAAGCGGAAUUCCUAGUGUAGCGGUGAAAUGCGUAGAUAUUAGGAAGAACACCAGUGGCGAAGGCGGCUUUCUGGACUGAAACUGACGCUGAGGCUCGAAAGCGUGGGGAGCAAACAGGAUUAGAUACCCUGGUAGUCCACGCCGUAAACGAUGAGUGCUAGGUGUCGGGGAGGAAUCCUCGGUGCCGCAGCUAACGCAAUAAGCACUCCACCUGGGGAGUACGACCGCAAGGUUGAAACUCAAAGGAAUUGACGGGGGCCCGCACAAGCGGUGGAGCAUGUGGUUUAAUUCGAAGCAACGCGAAGAACCUUACCAAGGCUUGACAUCCCGAUGACCACUCUAGAGAUAGAGUUUCUCUUCGGAGCAUCGAUGUUGACCUGAAUCUUGUUUGUCAUGUCGGCAUCUGCACCUACGUGAAGGCUGAAUGCUAAGCUGUUUGCAACUUUUGCCUGACCAACUUUAAUAGAAAAUGUUCCAUCACCAUUAGUAAGGUCUACAGCGGUAUCAACAUU